UCUUCCUGAGCCCCUCCGAGCCAAGGCCGGCCCAGCAGGUGCCUGUGCUGCUGUAGUCUCUUCUGCCCUGCCCGCCCGCUCUGGGUUUGGUGUAAUGGAAAGAGAUGUGGAUGAGGAGCCGGGCACUUGGGCCUGGGUGGCUCUGCCACUCCCUAGCACAGCACCGAGCAAGUCAUCCUCCACUCCGGCAUCGGCUUCCUUUUCCAAGAAAUGGGAACACCUGCAUCUCCGCUACCUACAACACAGAGGUGUCAUGGGCUGAAAAAACCCUAGAUGGGGAAGGCCUUUGGAAGAGGAAGGCAUGCUGGUAAAAAAACUCAUUCACAUGACAGAGCGACGCUGGUGGUGUUUAGGCAAGCUCCCGAAAGACGCAUGGAAUCUUCUCUUUACGAGGAUCUGGAUGCUGAUGGUGCUUACAGGUGUGUGGGUCCCUGCACCCGGAAGGCUAUGAUGACAUGCACGGGAGUGAGCGCCACCAACAGCUGGGCACACCCGUGCAGCUCCACCCGGGCAGCGAUGUUGAGCCUGAGGAAAUGCGGCUGCCUUCAAACUUUGAUUAGAACCCAGGGUCGGCUCCAGUCU
rnacentral:antisense_RNA from 1 species